UAAGGCACAACCUGGGAUGACUUGGGUCUCAGAUUUAAAAUAAUAAUACUGGAUGUUCCUGGAAUUUGUUGGCAUAACCAUUGUUCGUUGGGCAUAGGAAGAAAACGUACUCGAGUUCUUUACGCGCUACAGAUUCGGGAAGAAUUGGCGACGAGCUUAAUUACGGAAAUAACAGGUAGGUUAAUGGACCCCCUACAUCUUAAGGACCUUACACACCGGACGCGAUGCGAAUUUGCGACUUUGCGAGACUUUUUUUUUUUUUUUACAAAAGAUUCGCCUAAGUUUCAGAACGAAAAAAACAUGGAUUCAACUUCAUCCAGUGAUGACGAUGUGGUCCUCUACCUCCUCACUCGACAGAAGAAGAGGAGAUUUUGGGUACAUCCUUUAUUACAAAGUCGAGAAAGAGAAGGAGAGUUCCAUUGCCUCAGAGAGGAGCUGAAGCUCUACCACGGCUAGGUUCCGGACAUAUUUUCGGAUGUCGGUGGGACAGUUUGAGGUCCUUCUGGGGAUACUAGCGCCGCAUAUGACGAGGCAAAGCACCAACUACCGGGAUCCUAUCGACCCAGAGCCAUUUUCUAUUUUUAUAUGGUUUUGUAAACUAAUCUGGAAUCACUUGUGGCACUCUUUGCUGUACCGUGCGUAGUGUACAUUGUCGUAACGUCGUUCCACGCAAUGUGAUAGGUUGAUGCGUUUAUUCGUGUAUUAUGUUGUCUAGGUUCGUCUUGUUGUUUAGUUAUGUUUCGUUACGAUUUAUUUUCUUGUCAUGUUUAGUUAUGUCUCGUUACGAUUUAUUUUCUUGUCAUGUCUAGUUAUGUUUUCGUACGAUUAUAUUCCUGGUUAUGUUUAGUGGUUAUCGUCUUAGUUUCGCGUUGUGUCAUGUUUUGAUUUAUGUUUAUUGUUACGUUAACUGGUCUCGGUUUAUGCAUACACUUUUACAUGUUUUUCCGCAAACCUUGCGUUCCGCCUUUUCUCUCUCUCUCCUUCUGUCAUUCACUUCCUAAUUGUUUCUAUUUGUCUAUUUACUAAAACUACUAACGCUAGAUCAGGAUUGGGUAGAGACUAACAAACUAAUCAUGUGUUCAUGUUACCUUACGUUUCUCGUGCAUGUCAUUUACUAAUUUACUAAUGCUAGGGCAGGAUAGGUUAUUACUAACGAUUACUAAUCUCCUUGUUAAACUUUUCAUCCAUCGCACCUGUUUUCCAUUUCCUUGCUACGCUCUAACUAAUUGUCUACACCUGUCUACACCCGCAUUUAUAGCCCAGUCGCGCAACUGUUCACUGCGAAAUUGUCUGCCUCUGUUUUCCACGCAACUCUUGAGCAUUUACUGUUUUGAUUACACGUUACGAUCCAAGCCCGUCAUCGACUAUUGAUUAUUGAUUUCUGUUUUGUGACCAUCGUUUGUUUUUUGACUACGUCCUCGCCUACCGUUUUUGUACUUUUGCCCCGCUGAUUGUUUCAUGGUUUCGACUCCCGCUUCGCCCACGACUACGCCUCUGCCUGCCGUCCGCCUGUUCAUCUGCCCCGCUGACAGCUCUCCUGCUACCGGACCUCCCUGCACGUCUACCGACUACGAGAUUGCCUCUUCCCUCGGCACCGUGCUUUUUGUUUGUUUUAUAUUUGUUUGGCUGGAUCUUCGUGUAUGGACUUUGCUUGUGUUUACUACGCUCCUGGGACUCGUCCCGAAUAAAGCCCUAACGGGACUUUAUUUAACUAUUGUUUCUGAGUCGUGCAUUUUGGGUCCAACCCCCACGCACCCGUCUCAGGUCCAAUGCACCCAUGCUGCUUGCCCCCGAACAAUAAUAAUAAUAAUUAAUAAUAAUAAUAAUGAUAUGCACCCACAUGGACAGUCAAGCUGUGAAAUUCUGGAUUUAUAAACACCCUCAUUAAGUGACACAUAGUGCUUAAACAUCAGGCGAUAGAAAGUGGCAAAAUCUGGCAGUGUAUUCACAGAAUUACUCAUAUUUUCAUUUUGUAUGUAAAUGUAAUUGGAAUGUAAUUAUACUUACAUAUACUAUCUUUGUAUUCUCACCAGGUUCACAAACAUGAGUGUAUCUCCGAUGAUGACACAGUGUCCUCGCUGCCAGCAGGAGCAGGUGAACUUGGUGGGGCAUCAGCGUGCCGUGUGCACUCCCUGCUCCAAGGCCCUGCGACGUAUGUACCAGUUCUGUUGUUCGUGCCAACGGGAAUGGCAGGGGGAGAACAACUACUGCAGCCUUCCUUGGUGUGGGAUACGGGCUGCUCUUCUCUCCGAUGCUGUGAACACAGACCCGGACAGCUGCGUAGUGGGAUGUCCCAUUUUCCGCGCAUGUCCCUCAUGCAAAGCCCUUCUGAUGCAUUCAGGGGAGGGGUGCCCAAACAUCGUGUGUCAGCAGUGCCAUACGGGUUUCUGCUAUCGCUGUCUUAGGGAGGAAUGUGUGGGUGAAUUUCAUUUUGAUGAUGAAGACGAAGACAAAGACGAAGACGAAGAUGAAGACGGAGUUGAAGAUCAACACUGUGAGAUUUAUGGUGAUUAUCCUUUACCAUGCACUAUUGUAGAUAAUAGCAACACUCUGAAAGAAUUGAAUUGAACGGUUUAAUUUGAACGUAUUUCACUGGAUUGAUUCAUGAAUUUACAAUUAGGAUCAAUAAUUUAACUUUAUGUAACUGGUUUAAUGAAUUUUAAAUUCAAUACAUUUUAUAUGCAUUUGUUCUUGGUCUUUGUUAAUUAUUGCCGUAAGCUCUGCUCUGUGAGUGAAAUAUGUGUACAAUCAUUAAUUUCAGUGCUCAUCUUUUCACCUCGUGUAACAAAUACAAAACUCACUUUUACGUACAGGUAUAUUUUAUACACUUUGAAAUAUGGUUAAUUACUAUUUGCUGUGUUUUGAUUUCAUUUAAACCAAUUCUAAACAUGUAAGUCUUUCCCCAUUGACUAAAUAAUAAUCAAACUUGUAUUUUAUUAUGUAUGAAAUGUGUAUUGAUAAUAAAAUAUAUUAUUUAGAAACCCUGA